UGGGAAUUUGGACAAUGGGCGAAAGCCUGAUCCAGCAAUGCCGCGUGUGUGAAGAAGGCCUUCGGGUUGUAAAGCACUUUUGUCCGGAAAGAAAUCCUUGGCUCUAAUACAGUCGGGGGAUGACGGUACCGGAAGAAUAAGCACCGGCUAACUACGUGCCAGCAGCCGCGGUAAUACGUAGGGUGCAAGCGUUAAUCGGAAUUACUGGGCGUAAAGCGUGCGCAGGCGGUUUGCUAAGACCGAUGUGAAAUCCCCGGGCUCAACCUGGGAACUGCAUUGGUGACUGGCAGGCUAGAGUAUGGCAGAGGGGGGUAGAAUUCCACGUGUAGCAGUGAAAUGCGUAGAGAUGUGGAGGAAUACCGAUGGCGAAGGCAGCCCCCCUGGGCCAAUACUGACGCUCAUGCACGAAAAGCGUGGGGAGCAAAACAGGAUUAGAUACCCUGGUAGUCCACGCCCUAAAACGGUGUCAACUAGUUGUUGGGGAUUCAUUUCCUUAGUAACGUAGCUAAACGCGUGAAGUUGACCGCCUGGGGAGUACGGUCGCAAGAUUAAAACUCAAAGGAAUUGACGGGGUCAUAGCUGUUUCCU
rnacentral:rRNA from 1 species